CCUACGGGCGGCAGCAGUGGGGGAUAUUGCACAAUGGGGGGAACCCUGAUGCAGCGACGCCGCGUGGGUGAAGGAGCGUUUCGGCGCGUAAAGCCCUAUCGGCAGGGAAGAAGGAGGACGGUACCUGACUAAGAAGCCCCGGCUAACUACGUGCCAGCAGCCGCGGUAAUACGUAGGGGGCAAGCGUUAUCCGGAUUUACUGGGUGUACAGGGGGCGCAGACGGCAGCGCAAGCCAGGAGUGAAAGCCCGGGGCCCAACCCCGGGACGGCUCUUGGAACUGCGCGGCUUGAGUGCAGGAGGGGCAGGCGGAAUUCCUGGUGUAGCGGUGAGAUGCGUAGAUAUCAGGAGGAACACCGGUGGCGAAGGCGGCCUGCUGGACUGCGACUGACGUUGAGGCCCGAAAGCGUGGGGAGCAAACAGGAUUAGAUACCCGAGUAGUC
rnacentral:rRNA from 1 species